GAAGACAAUGUAGAUAUUCAAGGGCUCAAAAGAAAAUGGUGCCUGAGAUGAGCAAGGUCAGCAGACAAGAAGUGAGGUCAAUGUCAGGUUUCCAUGCCAGCAGCGGGAACUCUGGAUACAGUGGAGAGUCACAGCUGGUCAAACCCUGAACCGCUUGCUCCUUGAAAUGGCCAGAGAGGCCCAUCCCAGAGCCAUCUCAUCAUCUCUCCUCAGACAGGAAACCGAGAAGGAAAACAAUCAGCUCUGUUCUCUCUGGGCCGAGGGAGUGAGCUGUAAUGAGGGAGCACAGGAACGCAUUGGGCGCCCUCAGACCUGAACACACAGUUGAGAAUAACUCAUCCAGGGUUGUUGAAUGGUGGAGGAUCUUCCAAAAUCAGCAGCUAGGAGGUCGAGAACCCUUCAUGCCAUACUAAGAAGUUUCAUGCUAGGCAAAGAAGAGUGACAAGGUAUUUCAACAGGUGAAUGAUAGGUACACAAAGAAGGAUUACCACAGGAAAUCCAGAGAGGCUUUAGAAGACGAGCUUGCGUUGAGAUAGAAGCCGGAAGCCCACUUAGCCAACUGCCUCCAUGGGACUUGGCAUGAGGCAGGCUUAUGACAGUAAAUGCUACACUGCCCUCAGUGAAAAAGAGAAUUUGGCAUUCAUUCUUCUGAACCCGCCAUCCCUCAGCCUUGGCGCCUGGGAAUUCUGCGAAUCGUUGCCUGUGGCAGUGACACUGAUUUGUAUCUGGGUAUGAACUUAAAUGAAAACAUGAAUUGAACUCAUUACUUGAGGAAGGAAACACUGCCAAAUUUAACAGGAUGAAAUUCCAGCAGGGUGUAAGGUUUUAUGGGGCUACAGUGGAAUAUCUCAUAGAAAGGUUUCCAGUUCAUAAAACACUUUCAAAACAUGCUCGGCCCUUUUAAGUUGAAGGGACAUUAUCAUUUCUAUCUAUGGCAUUUCUCUGCAAAUUGAACUCAAAUAUCCUUUGGGCUGACUACACAGAGAACAGAAGAAAGAAGUGGAAGAAACUUGGACUGAAGAUUGCCUCCCUGAAAAGGUUUUCUUCAGGCAGAAUUAGGUGAGAACAAAUGACAUCAGAAAGUAGCAUGUCAGUAUACUGCUGCCAGCUCCAUAUGGUUCAGCUUGUUUUCACAGGUAUUUAAUUAAUUCCACAAACAUAUAUUGAGUAUCAGAUGUGGGAUCCUGUUCAACACAUUUGGGGUACAGUAGUCAAUUAGUCUACUCUCAUGGCACAUACAUGCUGGAAGGAGAGAAAAACAAUAAAUAAAUGAACAAAAGAUGCAGUAUCAGGUAGUGAUCAUUGCUAUCAAGAAAAAUAAAGCAAGAGAAAAUGGGAUAGAAGGUGUCAGGGGUGCGGGGUGACAUUUUACAUAGUGUGUUUGGCAAAGGCAAUUCUCAGGUGGUGACAUUUGAACAGAAGCUUGAAUGAAGUGACCUACAUGUUGAAUCCAGAAAGCUAAUUUUAUAUAUAUAUAUUUUUGGAAGGGGGCAGGAGAUAAUAAGCUAGUAAAAGGGUUGGGAAAUUAUUUUGAUUCAAGGAUGCCCAGUUUAAAAAACUGUAAGAGACAGCCCCUCUUUUUCUCCCAGUAUAGCGCUUUCGGUGGCCAUUUGAAUAGAGCUCUGCAUGUUUCCUUGGGAUUUUCUGGUGUUCAUGGCAUAACAACCAGCCAGCAGUCUUCUGGCUGGACCACGUUUUACUUGCUAGCAAGGAGCAGAAGCUGUGGAAAUUGGCAUGUAGAGAUGUAAAAGGAUUUUAUACUUUUCAGCCUGGGCAGAAAAUUAUAGAGAAAAGUAGGUGGGAGUCAGAAAAACAUGAAAUGAGAAAGAAAAGCAUAAUCUGAGUGAGUUCUCUCUCUUUUUUUUUUUGUUUUCUAUGUUUAUCUUUCCACAGCUUUUUCACUGGCUCUGUUAAAAAGCAAAUAUCACUGCAAACUUCAUUUCAUUUUCUCUCAACAGAUGAAAUAAAGCUUGUUAAAAUGUUUUUCCCUUCUGUCAGGUGCAAACUCCAUGUUAGCAGGUUUGAAAACUUUCACAUGUUCAGAUAGCAAUGGAGGUUUUAACUUGGCCAACAUCAACAAACAAACCAUGAGUCCCUCACGUGUGCAAUGCUUGCAUAGAAUGAAAUUGAGUAUGAGCAUGUUUGCCAACCCUACUACAAAUGGUUUAUUUAGAAUAGUAGAAUGUGAAAAAUACAGAUUUAUUUUUAAUAGCUAGUACCAUGAUGAUUAUUGAUUUUUUCUUCCAGAUUAUUAAUUUAAAUAGCAAAAUUAUGCUACAUGUUUAAAAUAUGUCUGUAUCCUGAAAGUACUUAUUGUAAGCUUAAGCCCAGUCUUAUUUCUAAAAAGAUAAUUUGUAGGAGGUAUAAUUUUCAUUUGUAUUCAUGUAUAUUAAUAUAUUUUUUGGUGUUACACUGUUGCAUGAGGAUAGCUGUAAGGUCAGGAUAUUUAGGAAACCUCUGAAUUGAACAUUGAGCUUGUGGAUCUAAUAUUUAAGUAACUGGUUUCUGUCUACGUACUCUUUUCUCUUCCGUGGUAAGCCCUGCAGGCAAGCUCACUUCUCUA
ensembl:lncRNA LNC-LBCS lncRNA bladder and prostate cancer suppressor, hnRNPK interacting